rnacentral:rRNA from 1 species
AUUGAACGCUGGCGGCAGGCUUAACACAUGCAAGUCGAGCGGGGUGAUGUAGCUUGCUACAUUACCUAGCGGCGGACGGGUGAGUAAUGCUUAGGAAUCUGCCUAUUAGUGGGGGACAACUAAGGGAAACUUUAGCUAAUACCGCAUGAUGUCUACGGACCAAAGCGGGGGACCUUCGGGCCUCGCGUUCUGAGAGGAGCCUAUGUCAGAUUAGCUAGUUGUCGGGGUAAAGGCCCACCAAGGCUAUGAUCUGUAGCUGGUUUGAGAGAACGACCAGCCACACUGGGACUGAGACACGGCCCAGACUCCUACGGGAGGCAGCAGUGGGGAAUUUUGGACAAUGGGCGAAAGCCUGAUCCAGCAAUGCCGCGUGCAGGAAGAAGGCCUC